GUACAAGCAGUGGGAGCCCCACCACCAAAGCAUUUGCUGUACCGCGUUGACGGAGCGAAGCGACGUCAAACCGAUAAAACAGCAGUGUAAAGUGAGCCGCAGGGCGCUUUGCGCGACAGCGCAAAGGCAGGCGGUUUCGCGUAGCGAAAGCGAAUGCUUUGGGGUGGGGUGACUGCGUACCUUUUGUAUAAUGGGUCAGCGACUUAUAUUCUGUAGCAAGGUUAACCGAAUAGGGGAGCCGGAGGGAAACCGAGUCUUAAUUGGGCGUUAAGUUGCAGGGUAUAGACCCGAAACCCGGUGAUCUAGCCAUGGGCAGGUUGAAGGUUGGGUAACACUAACUGGAGGACCGAACCGACUAAUGUUGAAAAAUUAGCGGAUGACCUGUGGCUGGGGGUGAAAGGCCAAUCAAACCGGGAGAUAGCUGGUUCUCCCCGAAAGCUAUUUAGGUAGCGCCUCGUGAAUUCAUCUCCGGGGGUAGAGCACUGUUUCGGCUAGGGGGCCAUCCCGGCUUACCAACCCGAUGCAAACUGCGAAUACCGGAGAAUGUUAUCACGGGAGACACACGGCGGGUGCUAACGUCCGUCGUGAAGAGGGAAACAACCCAGACCGCCAGCUAAGGUCCCAAAGUCAUGGUUAAGUGGGAAACGAUGUGGGAAGGCCCAGACAGCCAGGAUGUUGGCUUAGAAGCAGCCAUCAUUUAAAGAAAGCGUAAUAGCUCACUGGUCGAGUCGGCCUGCGCGGAAGAUGUAACGGGGCUAAACCAUGCACCGAAGCUGCGGCAGCGACACUGUGUGUUGUUGGGUAGGGGAGCGUUCUGUAAGCCUGUGAAGGUGUGUCGUGAGGCAUGCUGGAGGUAUCAGAAGUGCGAAUGCUGACAUAAGUAACGAUAAAGCGGGUGAAAAGCCCGCUCGCCGGAAGACCAAGGGUUCCUGUCCAACGUUAAUCGGGGCAGGGUGAGUCGACCCCUAAGGCGAGGCCGAAAGGCGUAGUCGAUGGGAAACGGGUUAAUAUUCCCGUACUUGGUGUUACUGCGAAGGGGGGACGGAGAAGGCUAUGUUGGCCGGG
rnacentral:rRNA from 1 species